GAUGAAGAACGCAGCGAAAUGCGAUAAGUAGUGCGAAUUGCAGAAUUCAGUGAAUCAUCGAAUCUUUGAACGCACAUUGCGCCCUUUGGUAUUCCUUAGGGCAUGCCUGUUCGAGCGUCAUUUAAACCUUCAAGCUAAGCUUGGUGUUGGGUGACUGUCCGCUUCACUGCGGACUCGCCUCAAAAUUAUUGGCGGCCGGUACAUUGGCUUCGAGCGCAGCAGAAACGCGAACUCGGGCCCGUCGUAUUGGCUCCCAGAAGCUAUCUUCACAAUUUUGACCUCGGAUCAGGUAGGGAUACCCGCUGAACUUAAGCAUAUCAAUAAGCGGAGGA
rnacentral:misc_RNA from 1 species